AAGUAGCCACGGUAAUACAGAGGGUGCGAGCGUUAAUCGGAUUUACUGGGCGUAAAGCGUGCGUAGGCGGCUUUUUAAGUCGGAUGUGAAAUCCCUGAGCUUAACUUAGGAAUUGCAUUCGAUACUGGGAAGCUAGAGUAUGGGAGAGGAUGGUAGAAUUCCAGGUGUAGCGGUGAAAUGCGUAGAGAUCUGGAGGAAUACCGAUGGCGAAGGCAGCCAUCUGGCCUAAUACUGACGCUGAGGUACGAAAGCAUGGGGAGCAAACAGGAUUAGAUACCCCCGUAGUCCCUGUCUCUUAUAC
rnacentral:rRNA from 1 species